rnacentral:rRNA from 1 species
GACGAACGCUGGCGGCGUGCUUAACACAUGCAAGUCGAACGGAAAGGCCCUGCUUUUGUGGGGUGCUCGAGUGGCGAACGGGUGAGUAACACGUGAGUAACCUGCCCCUGACUUUGGGAUAACUUCAGGAAACUGGGGCUAAUACCGGAUAGGAGCUCCUGCUGCAUGGUGGGGGUUGGAAAGUUUCGGCGGUUGGGGAUGGACUCGCGGCGUAUCAGCUUGUUGGUGGGGUAGUGGCUUACCAAGGCUUUGACGGGUAGCCGGCCUGAGAGGGUGACCGGCCACAUUAGGACUGAGAUACGGCCCAGACUCCAACGGGAGGCAGCGGUGGGGAAGAUUGCACAAUGGGCGGAGGCCUGAUGCGGCAACGCCGCGUGCGGGAUGACGGCCUUCGGGUUGUAAACCGCUUUCGCCUGUGACGAAGCGUGAGUGACGGUAAUGGGUAAAGAAGCACCGGCUAACUACGUG